rnacentral:rRNA from 1 species
AUGAAGCAGGACGACGGCAAGUGGAAGGCGGCCACGAAGCAGUACAAGGCCCUGUUGCCCGCGUUGGGGAGCGACAAGGUGCUGAACGUCAUGGACAUGAGCACCGUCUACGGAGGGCUCGCGGCGAGCCUCGUCAAGGACCCCGUGUGCGUCAUGAACGUGGUCUCCUCCUACGGGCCCAACUCCCUCGGCGUCGUCUAUGACAGAGGACUCAUCGGCACCAACCCACGCAUUACCUCUUCUCCCAACUGCAUCCUGCUCGCCGUCAGAUGUUUAGCAUUCCCGUUACUAGAAUUGAAUUAA